UACGUAGGGAGCGAGCGUUGUCCGGAUUCAUUGGGCGUAAAGAGCUCGUAGGCGGCUUGGUAAGUCGGAUGUGAAACCUCCAGGCUCAACCUGGAGUCGCCAUCCGAUACUGCCAUGGCUAGAGUCCGGUAGGGGCCCACGGAACUCCUGGUGUAGCGGUGAAAUGCGCAGAUAUCAGGAAGAACACCGGUGGCGAAGGCGGUGGGCUGGGCCGGUACUGACGCUGAGGAGCGAAAGCCAGGGGAGCGAACGGG
rnacentral:rRNA from 1 species